rnacentral:misc_RNA from 1 species
CAGCACAUCGCUGAACCUGCAACUAUGCGCCAGCAGUAGAGUACACAAGACACAUAAGGUGAACGGCAUACUCCGCAGGAAAGUCGCUUCGAGAUGUGCGUGUGCGACGGACGCUUCAGGGGUAUCACAUUCCUAGAGCCUGCAACGCACCUUGGCAUGACUGUCGAAUGGUUGAGCAGCAGUCCAGCAGCGACGUCGCUUAUCAGUCGCGACGUUGUGAUGUUCUCUCACAUGCUGUGGAAUGAAGUCUGAGAUGUUUACAUGACGAUGCAGCCAAGUCGCUGCUGUUUGCCCUCCACCGUGUCGCUUAGGGAAGGGGCAAGGCACGAAGAGGCGACGAGGAGCACUAUCGGUAUGUGGGGUGCGCUAAGGCACCGCGACAGAGACGCACUUGCCGCUGAGGAAGACUCGUUUUGGUGACGGGGGGGGGCAUGUGCGCUUUUCAGUCGCUGACUCGAGCCGCGCUCCACGGGACAUCAAAAGUGUGCCUCCGUAGGCCAUGCCAAGUCGCGUGAGUGCUCUGCGCGGGCGCUCUAGCGUCACCGGCAACCUCCCGAGAAGCUCGAGGUGCAGUUCGUCGGCGAUGCACUGCGCAGGGAGUAGUGACACGUAUUUCAUUGCGCCCGGCUAUGCAGACGGAAAACCUGUACACCAAACGGCCUGCUGCGACCACCGCGGUAGCAACAGCCUCGGCAGCACGCCCACGGGUGUACUAUGCAUGGCCACAACAGAUGGUCGCGUUUUCCUUUUAGCGCCUGCUCUAUACUUCACCGGGCGCAUGCAACAGUAGCCCACAGAGAGUGCUUCUCCGUCUGCGCCCUGGCCCGAGGUCCUGCAGGACACCGUCUCCUCCAUGCUCCUUGAAACAGCGGCUCGUCGCCAGACAUUAACCAUCCAGACUGUCAUUGAUAAAUGUCGUGCAUCGCUGACAGACACAGUAAAGACGGAAGAAACCGUGCGGGCGCGUACACUUCGAAGCUCGCAUGGAGGCGGCGGUUACCUGCUUCGGCAUCUCUGCAGUAGCUCAGCCAUAGCCUUGCCCUGCGCUUGGCUGCCGUGUGUUCCACAGCCACGCGAGUAGGGUGCACUGGCUCUCCACGCUGACAUCUCUGAAGGGUUGUUUGCACCCGUCGUGAAUUCUCUUUCGCCGUCGGGUCUUGUGCGCCGUUUUUUUUUCUCGCUUUCUUCUGUAUCGUCAGACAGUAAUCCAAUGCCUCACCGACAGACGCACCGGGGGAGGGCACUCAGGAGCGGUGAGUCAUAUCUGCUCGAGCGCACGGCCGCACUCGUCGGCGACGAAGAGGCGUCCGUGUGCCUGACGGCGCGGAUUUGAGCAGUGUCGCUUUAUGCGAGCACACCCUUUAUAUGUUUCCUCGAUCCACACACACACACACACACACCGCGGAUGUUAUGGUACGCUGUAAAAGGCAUAUUGUCCGUUGAGGGCCAUUGAGUGAGCCUCGGAGUGUUGGAGGCGGGGUGGCCCCUUAACGGAUGGUGUUGCAUGCACUGUGUGCCAUCGCAUAGCCCCUUCUCUUGGCCUGUGCGCUUGAAAAGCCCUGCCGUGUAGCGCCUUAUGUUGUUGUUUCUCUGCCUCAUUAUCCGCUCCCCCUUCGCGGUCUGCUCGACGCGUGUUUUGUGGCUGCUGUAGUGAAGACGUGGGCCAGCGGGCACACAGGAGGCUGCCCUCACGUGCGUGCUUUCUCGGAAACCCACUUGCUCUGUUGCCGCGCCGAAGCCCCCUCGCUUAUUGCGACCUUGUCUUCGCUGGUCUCCCUCCUCCCCCUCCUCUCUCACGUGCAGGACCGUUCUGGAAUGCGCAUCCAUGCGAAGGCGGCGAGCAAGCGCCCGCCAUCCUCCGUGUCACCUCUCCUCUCGUUGGAGAGAAGGGCAAACAAAAAAGAAGAAGAGAGAAACGUGCUGGUGGUCUCCUCUCUGCGUUCGCUUCCCUGCCAUGUGGGCGUGCAACCGGCUGUUUUGCUGCGUGCAACUUCCCUUUUCGGAUACCUGUUGUUGCGCUUCCUCUUUGCGCUCUUCGUUUUUUUUUUGGGGGGGGGGGGUGGGAAGGGAGGGAGGGAGGGAGGGAAAGGGGGCGCGCCUCUCACUCUCUCGGUGUGUAUGUGUGUUGCGCUGCUUUCUGUGUAGUGUGCGCCUCUCUUGCCUGUCUCCUCUAUACGCUCUUUGGUUCUCCCCUUCUCCGCACCAGGUCGCUGCUGCUGACUAUGGCUAGUCGAAAAAGCAUGUUCUCUGUAGGCGCAGCGUGCAUUGCGGUUGGCGGACUCUUCGUGAGCACGUCCCUCGCAAGUGUCCAGCCCGCACCUCCUACGUGGCGGUGUCGUAUGCCUUCUCUGCCGAACUCGAGCAAUUCAUGCGAGCCCGCAGGCAGCCACGGCGCAG